CCUACGGGAGGCAGCAGUGGGGAAUAUUGGACAAUGGGCGAAAGCCUGAUCCAGCAAUGCCGCGUGAGUGAUGAAGGCCUUCGGGUCGUAAAGCUCUUUUACCAGGGAUGAUAAUGACAGUACCUGGAGAAUAAGCUCCGGCUAACUCCGUGCCAGCAGCCGCGGUAAUACGGAGGGAGCUAGCGUUGUUCGGAAUUACUGGGCGUAAAGAGUACGUAGGCGGUUAUUCAAGUCAGAGGUGAAAGCCCGGGGCUCAACCCCGGAACUGCCUUUGAAACUAGAUAACUAGAGUCUUGGAGAGGUUAGUGGAAUUCCGAGUGUAGAGGUGAAAUUCGUAGAUAUUCGGAAGAACACCAGUGGCGAAGGCGACUAACUGGACAAGUACUGACGCUGAGGUACGAAAGCGUGGGGAGCAAACAGGAUUAGAUACCCUGGUAGUCCACGCCGUAAACGAUGAUAACUAGUUGUUCGGUCACUUGGUGUACUGUAGUGACGACAGACUACGACAUUAAGUUAUCCGUCCGUCGGGUAGGUACGGUCGCGAAGAAUUAAAACUAACAAAGGAAAGUUAGUACGGACGUGAGACGUAGCCGAACGGACGACGACGACGGGAGGUAGG
rnacentral:rRNA from 1 species